AAGAAGUGAGCUAUGGAUGUUGCAGGGAUGAGCGGAUGAAGAAGUGAUGGUGUUGAGCUGAGCCACUUGCUGAAUUUAUAGGCCAGGGGAAGGACGUCUUGACGGUGAACUGUGCUUGUCAUUGAGAAAAGUUGGCAGGGGAGUGGGGCCAAAUGUUGGUGUAUGCUGGAGCCUAUAGUUGCAAUUGGUAGGCAUGGGUCUGCUUUCUUAUCAUUUGCGGCUGCCAUACCGAACCACGUACCCAACAAGAGGUGUGUCGAAAACAUGGCUACUGGCAACGUGCGAGGAAUACAACAAUGGGUUCCAGAUUCAGGGACUGAACAAUUUCGGUGAGCACUGAUCAAUUAUAUGCCAUAUAUUGAUGUGCUUCUCUUGAUUGGAGUGUCAUGAUAAUGUUUAUUGUUCAUGCACCUGAUCAAUCUAUUCUCUGUGAACGUUCAGUUGAAAAGCUCGUGCUCGGUCUAGCACAUGAUGUGUUCAAUUUCCGGCAUGUCACAUGUUUAUGGCCCAUUCUUGCCUUGUGA
rnacentral:lncRNA from 1 species